GAUGAACGCUGGCGGCGUGCCUAAUACAUGCAAGUCGAGCGAACAGACGAGGAGUUUGCUCCUCUGACGUUAGCGGCGGACGGGUGAGUAACACGUGGAUAACCUACCUAUAAGACUGGGAUAACUUCGGGAAACCGGAGCUAAUACCGGAUAAUAUAUUGAACCGCAUGGUUCAAUAGUGAAAGACGGUUUUGCUGUCACUUAUAGAUGGAUCCGCGCCGCAUUAGCUAGUUGGUAAGGUAACGGCUUACCAAGGCGACGAUGCGUAGCCGACCUGAGAGGGUGAUCGGCCACACUGGAACUGAGACACGGUCCAGACUCCUACGGGAGGCAGCAGUGGGGAAUCUUCCGCAAUGGGCGAAAGCCUGACGGAGCAACGCCGCGUGAGUGAUGAAGGUCUUCGGAUCGUAAAGCUCUGUUAUUAGGGAAGAACAAAUGUGUAAGUAACUAUGCACGUCUUGACGGUACCUAAUCAGAAAGCCACGGCUAACUACGUG
rnacentral:rRNA from 1 species